rnacentral:ncRNA from 1 species
CGGCUUCACUACGGGCGCCGAAUCCACACCAUCCGUAACAGUUCGUUGCGGAUGGCGCGGACGAAGCUGAGAUGUACCGUGAUUACUCGAUCAAGAUAAUGCUUGCGUGAGGAACGUGCUGCCGCGCUUCU